CUCAUUUAGAAACAGCUGCAGUGAUUUUGGCGAGCAGCGCGGAGCCUGGAGGGGCUGCAGAGCCACGAGGAGGAACAUGCAGCCAGAAGAGAGCCACUGGGACCGGAGAGGAUUCACCAGCGCCUGCAGCUCAGCCUGCAGCUCCACCUGCCCGGCCAGCAGAGAGGACUCGUGACACGAUGACAUGAUGUUAUUAUAGUGAAGCCAUAAUGUAAAUAGUCUGUCAAUAGUUGUGUUCUGUUUUCUAUUUCACAACAUGUAUAUAAUGUGGAUUUUUUUUUUUAAUGUACAAUACAUAUUUAUAAAAAAAAUAA